rnacentral:rRNA from 1 species
GACGAACGCUGGCGGCGUGCCUAAUACAGGCAAGUCGAACGCAGUGGGGACGGGUGAGUAACACGUGGGUAACCUCCCAUCAGAGGGGAUAACACUUGGAAACAGGUGCUAAACCGAUACUGAUGGAUGGACCCGCGGUGCAUUAGCCAGUUGGUGAGGUAACGGGUCACCAAGGCCACGAUGCAUAGCCGACCUGAGAGGGUGAUCGGCCAACAUGGAACUGCGACACGGCUCAGACUCCGACGGGAGGCAGCAGUGGGGAAUAUUGGGCAAUGGAAGAAAGUCUGACCGAGUAACGCCGCGUGAGUGAAGAAGGUUUUCGGAUUGUAAAACUCUGGUGUUAGAGAAGCGGUAUCUAACCAGAAAGCCACGGCUAACUACGUGCAAGCCGCCGCGGUAAUAC